rnacentral:rRNA from 1 species
AAUCCCGUCUGUGACCGGUGACCGAUCCCAUGCGAAACCCCUUCGACGAGUCGAGUUGUUUGGGAAUGCAGCUCAAAAUGGGUGGUAAAUUUCAUCUAAAGCUAAAUACUGGCUGGAGACCGAUAGCGCACAAGUAGAGUGAUCGAAAGAUGAAAAGCACUUUGGAAAGAGAGUCAAAAAGUACGUGAAAUUGUUGAAAGGGAAGCGCUUGCAACCAGACCUGUCCGUGGGUGAUCAGCCGCCGUUCUCGGUGGUGCACUCGCCUACGAUCAGGCCAGCAUCGGUUCGGGCGGUCGGACAAAGGCCUUGGGAACGUAGCUCCUCUCGGGGAGUCUUAUAGCCCUCGGUGCAAUGCGGCCAGCCCGGACCGAGGACCGCGCUUCGGCUAGGAUGCUGGCGUAAUGGUUGUAAGCGACCCGUCUUGAAACACGGACCAAGGAGUCUAACAUCUAUGCGAGUGUUUGGGUGUCAAACCCGUACGCGGAAUGAAAGUGAACGGAGGUGAGAACCCUUUAGGGCGCAUCAUCGACCGAUCCAGAUGUCUUCGGAUGGAUUUGAGUAUGAGCAUAGCUGUUGGGACCCGAAAGAUGGUGAACUAUGCCUGAAUAGGGUGAAGCCAGAGGAAACUCUGGUGGAGGCUCGCAGCGGU